UACGUAGGGGCGAGCGUUAUCCGGAAUUAUUGGGCGUAAAGGGUUCGCAGGCGGCCUUGUAAGUCAGAUGUGAAAGACAGCGGCUUAACCGUUGUAAGCAUUUGAAACUGCAGGGCUUGAGUACAGGAGAGGAAAGCGGAAUUCCUAGUGUAGCGGUGAAAUGCGUAGAUAUUAGGAGGAACACCAGUGGCGAAGGCGGCUUUCUGGACUGAUACUGACGCUGAGGAACGAAAGCGUGGGGAGCAAACAGGAUUAGAUACCCCCGUAGUCCCUGAG
rnacentral:rRNA from 1 species